rnacentral:rRNA from 1 species
GGGAGCGAACCGGAUUAGAUACCCGGGUAGUCCACGCCGUAAACGAUGGAUACUAGCUGUNGGAGGUAUCGACCCCUUCAGUAGCGAAGCUAACGCGUUAAGUAUCCCGCCUGUGGAGUACGGCCGCAAGGCUAAAACAUAAAGGAAUUGACGGGGACCCGCACAAGCGGUGGAUUAUGUUCUUUAAUUCGAUGAUAACCGAAGAACCUUACCAGGGCUUGACAUCCAGGGAAGGUCUGCGAAAGUAGACUGUGCCUUUUGGAACCCUGUGACAGGUGAUGCAUGGCCGUCGUCAGCUCGUGUCGUGAGAUGUUAGGUUAAGUCCUUCAACGAGCGCAACCCUUGUGAAUAGUUGUAUUUUUCUACUGAGACUGCCCCGGUAACGGGGAGGAAGGAGGGGAUGACGUCAGGUCAGUAUUUCCCUUACGUCCUGGGCUAGAAACGUGAUACAAUGGCUAGUACAAUGCGCAGCGAANGCCGCGAGGUGAAGCAAAUCGCAUCAAAGCUAGUCCCAGUUCGGAUUGUAGGCUGAAACUCGCCUGCAUGAAGUCGGAAUCGCUAGUAAUCGCAGAUCAAGCAUGCUGCGGUGAAUACGUUCCCGGGUCUUGUACACACCGCCCGUCACACCAUGAAAGUUGGUAACACCCGAAGUCGGUGGUCCAACCUGCAAAGGAGGAAGCCGCCCACGGUGGGAUCGAUGAUUGGGGUG